AGCGAACGCUGGCGGCAGGCUUAACACAUGCAAGUCGAGCGGGCGUAGCAAUACGUCAGCGGCAGACGGGUGAGUAACGCGUGGGAACGUACCUUUUGAUUCGGAACAACACAGGGAAACUUGUGCUAAUACCGGAUAAGCCCUUACGGGGAAAGAUUUAUCGCCGAAAGAUCGGCCCGCGUCUGAUUAGCUAGUUGGUGAGGUAAUGGCUCACCAAGGCGACGAUCAGUAGCNGGUCUGAGAGGAUGAUCAGCCACAUUGGGACUGAGACACGGCCCAAACUCCUACGGGAGGCAGCAGUGGGGAAUAUUGGACAAUGGGCGCAAGCCUGAUCCAGCCAUGCCGCGUGAGUGAUGAAGGCCCUAGGGUUGUAAAGCUCUUUUGUGCGGGAAGAUAAUGACGGUACCGCAAGAAUAAGCCCCGGCUAACUUCGUGACAGCCGCCGCAGUAAC
rnacentral:rRNA from 1 species